rnacentral:rRNA from 1 species
UACGAAGGGAGCUAGCGUUGUUCGGAAUCACUGGACGUAAAGCGCACGUAGGCGGACGUGUCAGUCAGGGGUGAAAUCCCGGAGCUCAACUUCGGAACUGCCUUUGAUACAGCACGUCUUGAGUCCGGAAGAGGUGGGUGGAAUUCCUAGUGUAGAGGUGAAAUUCGUAGAUAUUCGCAAGAACACCAGUGGCGAAGGCGGCUCACUGGCCCGGUACUGACGCUGAGGUGCGAAAGCGUGGGGAGCAAACAGG